GACGGGGGGGGGCAAGUGUUCUUCGGAAUGACUGGGCGUAAAGGGCACGUAGGCGGUGAAUCGGGGUUGAAAAGUGAAAAGUCGCCAAAAAACUGGCGGAAUGCUCUCGAAACCAAUUCACUUGGGUGAGACAGAGGAGAGUGGAAUUUCGUGUGUAGGGGUGAAAUCCGCAAUCUACGAAGGAAGGCCAAAAGCGAAGGCAGCUCUCUGGGUCCCUACCGACGCUGGGGUGCGAAAGCAUGGGGAGCGAACAGG
rnacentral:rRNA from 1 species